rnacentral:rRNA from 1 species
GAAACGGGUGGUAAUGCCGGAUGCUCCGACAUGACGCAUGUCGUGUCGGGAAAGAUUCAUCGGUAUGGGAUGGGGUCGCGUCCUAUCAGCUUGAUGGCGGGGUAACGGCCCACCAUGGCUUCGACGGGUAGCCGGCCUGAGAGGGCGACCGGCCACAUUGGGACUGAGAUACGGCCCAGACUCCUACGGGAGGCAGCAGUGGGGAAUAUUGCACAAUGGGCGCAAGCCUGAUGCAGCGACGCCGCGUGCGGGAUGACGGCCUUCGGGUUGUAAACCGCUUUUGACUGGGAGCAAGCCCUUCGGGGUGAGUGUACCUUUCGAAUAAGCACCGGCUAACUACGUGCCAGCAGCCGCGGUAAUACGUAGGGUGCAAGCGUUAUCCGGAAUUAUUGGGCGUAAAGGGCUCGUAGGCGGUUCGUCGCGUCCGGUGUGAAAGUCCAUCGCUUAACGGUGGAUCCGCGCCGGGUACGGGCGGGCUUGAGUGCGGUAGGGGAGACUGGAAUUCCCGGUGUAACGGUGGAAUGUGUAGAUAUCGGGAAGAACACC